GAUGAACGCUGGCGGCGUGCCUAAUACAUGCAAGUCGAGCGAACAGACGAGGAGCUUGCUCCUCUGACGUUAGCGGCGGACGGGUGAGUAACACGUGGAUAACCUACCUAUAAGACUGGGAUAACUUCGGGAAACCGGAGCUAAUACCGGAUAAUAUAUUUAACCGCAUGGUUCAAUAGUGAAAGACGGUUUUGCUGUCACUUAUAGAUGGAUCCGCGCCGCAUUAGCUAGUUGGUAAGGUAACGGCUUACCAAGGCAACGAUGCGUAGCCGACCUGAGAGGGUGAUCGGCCACAUUGGAACUGAGACACGGUCCAGACUCCUACGGGAGGCAGCAGUAGGGAAUCUUCCGCAAUGGGCGAAAGCCUGACGGAGCAACGCCGCGUGAGUGAUGAAGGUCUUCGGUUCGUAAAACUCUGUUAUUAGGGAAGAACAAAUGUGUAAGUAACUAUGCACGUCUUGACGGUACCUAAUCAGAAAGCCACGGCUAACUACGUG
rnacentral:rRNA from 1 species